UUACGGUCUGGAUAGUUUGUUGUUAAUCAUCGGAAACUCAUUUCCGAUAUUAGAAAAGAUAGCCAGAAUACAG
rnacentral:misc_RNA from 1 species